rnacentral:pre_miRNA from 1 species
AGUGGAAUUGCUGGGUUAUAUGGUAAGUUUAUGUUUAACUUUUUAAGAAACUGCAAAACUGUUUUGCAAAGUGGCUGAACCAUUUUACAUUCCCACCAGUAAU